rnacentral:misc_RNA from 1 species
ACCAAAAUGACAAAUAUACAAGUAGUAGCUUACAUUCAAGUAUUCCACGGAGCAUGGAAGAUGAAUCAAGUCCGAAAAAACUGGACAAUAGCAUAAGGUUAUCGACAACCCAAGUUAACUCUUCCUUCUUCGUCAAUAGUUUUAUUCGUGCAUAUCUUCUGUAGAUCAAUGUAGCCAAUGAUUGUGUCCUCAAAAUCUGCACCAUCAAGUUGUGCAUUAUUGAAGGUAGAUCCAGAUAGUACAGUGUUCUUAAAUGAAGCUCCCUGGAGGUUGGCUUUCUCAAAGUUCACCCGAUCGAGAACAGCAUUCGAAAAG